rnacentral:rRNA from 1 species
CCUACGGGUGGCAGCAGUGAGGAAUAUUGGUCAAUGGACGAGAGUCUGAACCAGCCAAGUAGCGUGAAGGAUGACUGCCCUAUGGGUUGUAAACUUCUUUUAUAUGGGAAUAAAGUUCAGUAUGUAUACUGUUUUGUAUGUACCAUAUGAAUAAGGAUCGGCUAACUCCGUGCCAGCAGCCGCGGUAAUACGGAGGAUCCGAGCGUUAUCCGGAUUUAUUGGGUUUAAAGGGAGCGUAGGCUGACGCUUAAGUCAGUUGUGAAAGUUUGCGGCUCAACCGUAAAAUUGCAGUUGAUCCUGGGUGUCUUGCGUGCAGCAGAGGUAGGCGGAAUUCGUGGGGUAGCGGUGGAAUGCUUAGAUAGCACGAAGAACUCCGAUUGCGAAGGCAGCUUACUGGACUGUAACUGACGCUGAUGCUCGAAAGUGUGGGUAUCAAAAAGGAUUAGAUACCCCUGUAGUC